rnacentral:tRNA from 1 species
AGCUCUGUGGUGAAAUUUCAUGUUGAAUUGCAAAUUCAAAGAAGCAGCUUCAAUUCUGCCGGGGCUUC